rnacentral:lncRNA from 1 species
CACAACAUCGGCAUCUAAAUUGCCUGAUUCAUGAUAUGUACUAACAUCAAUAUAAGAUUCCUUCCCGGUCUGAGUAACUUCUUCCUUGGAGACUUCAUAGGCAGAACAUACAACAGCAUUGCAAGAAAGAGACGGAUGAGCCCCAUCAUCAAUAUAAGAUGGCUUCCCAGUCUGAGUAACUUCUUCCUUGGACACUUCAUAGGCAGAACAUACAACAGCAUUGCAAGAAAGAGACGGAUGAGCCCCAUCAUCAAUAUAAGAUGGCUUCCCAGUCUGAGCAACUUCUUCCUUGGACACUUCAUAGGCAGAACAUACAACAGCAUUGCAAGAAAGGGACGGAUGCGCACUAUUUUCAAGGCCUGGCGUCUCCAUGCUACAACUGGUUUUUUC